rnacentral:misc_RNA from 1 species
AACGCACAUUGCGCCCAUCGGUAUUCCGUUGGGCAUGUCUGUUUGAGCGUCAUCACAACCCUCGACCGUAGUCGGUUUUGAGCGAGCUGGGUUAGUUCCCGAGUUCGCUUCAAAGUUGGUAAGCUCUCUGCUGGCCGUCGAGCCCUGCCAGAACAUAGUAGUCAGCCUUACUUGUUCGAGGAAAGGUUCGAAGCGGUCCGGCCUGAACAAAGACCUGCAUCUUUCUCAGGUUUGACCUCAGAUCAGACAAGGAUACCCGCUGAACUUAA